AGGUAAUUAAUUUAUGUAAAAUAACUAUUUUGAAAAUAGUUUUAAGAAAAUAAACACUUCUAUUACCUU
rnacentral:tRNA from 1 species